UUAUUAUCUCAAAGUCAAAACUUUUCUACUCAAGAUUUUCAAGAUGGUCAGAUUGCCACAAUGGAAGAUGGCAAGGAGACUGUCAGUAUUUUAAAUAUUGAAGAUUUGGAUGAUACAAGUGAUGUGCAAUCAAUUGUCACUAUUCCUGAUGAGGAACCAACUCAAUCUACAUCCGGCUGCAAUAAACGAAGGAACUCUGAUGAUGAAAAAACUUUGAAUAAAAUAGCAAAAACUGAACCGGAAAGUCAACAGCAAAUUUAAUUGUUCAUGAAUUUAUUAAUGCUGUUAAUGACAUUUUGCUCCUUAAAUAUGUUAAAUUUCCAUUGUCAGUGGAAAAUUUAAAUAAACAUAGUAGAGAUUUCGAAGCUAUUCUUGGUUUUCCACAAUGCGUUGGAGCUGUUGAUGGAUGCCACAUCCCUAUUUCAGCCCCUAAAGAUCAAGCAAUUUCUUAUUAUAAUUAUAAAGGGUGGUAUUCCAUUGUACUUUUUGCUGUUGUAGACUGUCGAUACCGUUUUAUUUAUACAAGUGUUGGAU